rnacentral:lncRNA from 1 species
UGUCUUUUAAAUCAACUCACUUUUUAAUUUUUUGGCAAAUUUGGCAUCAUUUCAUAUAUGAAUAAAUCUAGUAUCACUUGCCUUAUUUAGCAGGUGUGUUAGUCAGGAAAGGCUAAGCAAUGCUGCAAUAACGACCAGUCCCAAGAGUCCGGAGGUUUAAUAUAUAAUCAAUGUUUCAUAUUCAGUGUCCACUUAGAGAGUUGGGUAGAGGGAGGUGAGGCCAUUUUAGGACAUGUGGCCUCCUUGGUCACUGAACAGCAGAUGAGAACAUUAGAGGGUGAUUCACUGGUUUUUAAAUCAUGUACCCAGAACCCAAUGGCCAAGAUUAGUCACAUGAUCCUGCCUAAGGGCACCAGGACCAGGAGAUGUGGAGGUGCACCAACAGAUGUCUGUGCUGCAGAGGGUGACCACAGAGUCAAUCAGACAAUGUGACUAAGUUCUCCCCAGAAAGCUUUAUGAGAACGCUCUGGGCCAGAACAUUAAGAAAGAAGAAAUAGCAAGAGACACAAAUACGUUCAAGACGUGCGUAGCCCCAAGCUGAAACUUUCUCCUUGACCCGCAUGAAAGGAUUUAGGAAAGCAUCAAAACGGAAAUGACUUCCUCACCGUGUGACUCAGGGUGAUUUAAUGUGUGUCCCUGAUUCAAUUUAAAAAUACCUUCAAGAAAACCCAAACCAUGGAAAGAGUGUCUCUGCAGCAAAACGGAAACCAGACAAGGAUGACAGAUGUGUUAAGAAUCCCCGGGAGGAUGUGCUGUGCUGCUAUGAGAAGAUGGCUUCCCUCUCUGUGCCCUUCCUCCCCAUCAUUCCAGUCUAAUCGGGAGAAAAACAUUCCAACAGUUUCCUACUGAGGGACAUUCUACAAAACAAAGGGUUUCUAAGAGACUCUCACAGCCUUCCUAAGAGACUGGAGGACCAAAUGCCAUACGGGUCCUGGACAACAGGUAAAAACUAAGGAGGGCUGAAGAAAGCACGCCUGUGGUGUAACUCUGUCUCCACACUGGUUUGUUAACUGUGACCUGUGAACAAAGCAGAAGCUGAAUUUCCUCCCAUGGUCCAGCUCCGAGGUCCCACGCAUCACCUCUGCCAUGUUCUGUUGGCUGAAGCAGCCACAGCCUGCCGAGCUCAGGGGAGGCAUGGAGGCUGCACCUUUCACGGGGAGGCCCUGUCCAGGGUUCCUGGCCAUCUUUAACUCUGCGCUGACCUGUGAUGUGAGCUCGUGGUUCCUGCUGGGAAAAAAAAGUCGCAGGAGGCAUGGUCUGGACUAAGUUCUUCACCAGGCACCAACCCACCGGGCUAAAAAUCAACGUGGAGCCACUCACGCCCCAGUUCAGCUCUCCAGGCUGAAAGGAAGCUCUCCUCUGAUCUCAUGAGAAUCAAGGUUCCCAACAGCCCAGUUUCACUGGCACCAUGAUGCAGUCCCUCUGCUUUAAUCCUGAUGUCCACCACCAGCGGCUGGGGUCUCCUCUCCCCAUCUCAGCUGGCAGGACAGCAGCUUUGACACACAGUGACCAACCACUCUUUGCUAUUUGCUUCUGCUUUCUCCAGCCUUUCUCUCUAUAAAACCAAACUCCUCCUCAGAACAUGUGUUCUAUCUUAGGGAAGGAAGAGUGGCCCAAUUCUAAAUGGCAGAUGAAGCCAACGAAGGUCUUUAAACGAAUUUGUUCUGAUUUCAUCUUGAGACAUUCCCCUUACGUCACCUGCCGGAACAACGCUCGCAGGUAUUGCUAUUUCUGACUCUUUUAUUAAGUAUCCCUGUACCUGGCUUCUCCUCCACACUGUGAACUCCUCACACCUGCGGUGAUGUUGCUCUUCUCUCCCAAACUCCACGUGGCCUCAGCUUCCCGGCCCAUCCCCAGGGCUCUCCCAGGUCCUCUUCCAACCUUCGUAGCCUCUGUGCUGUGCCUUUAGACGCCCAGUGAAUGUCCUUCUGUUCCCUUGGCCGGAGUCUUUCUUCCCACAGAUGAGCACGUGGCUCAGGCUCUCCCUGCCUCAGUCUCUGCUCAGGUGUCACCUUAUCAGAGAGGUUUUGAGCGUCCUGUGUAGUGAGUGCAGUUCCCCGACCCCACCUGACACGACUGACCUGCCUUCCCACCUUAUUUAUAAUAUGGCCAGCCUCCAUUAUCUAAGGGUUCUGUUUGGUUUUGGUACCAGGGAUGGAACCCAGGGGCACUUAACCACUGAGCCACAUCCUCAACUCUUUUUAUAUCUUAUUUUAAGACAGGGUCUCACUGAGUUGCUUAGGGCCUUGCUAAGUUGCUGAGACUGGCUUUGAACUCGUGAUCCUCCUGCCUCAGCCUCCCAAAUUGCUGGGAUUACAGGCAUGUGUCACCACUUCCGGCCCCCUAUCUAUGGGUUCUGCGUGCACAAACCAACCUCAGGUAGAAAACCUCAUGAAGGAGGUUUUCAGGGGGAAAAUAAUUGCAUCCAUACUGAACAAAUUCUUUUCGUGUUGUUAUUCCCUGAGCAAUGUAGAAUAAUAACUCUUUGCAUAACAUUUACAUUGCAUUGGGUGUUUUAAGUAAUCUAGAAACGAUUUAAAAUAUGCUGGAGGGGUGUAUAAGGAGUAUGCAAGUCCUACACCAUUUUAUAUAAAGAACUAGGGCAACAUGGAUUUUGGUAUCUGGUGAAGGGGGUCCCUGGAACCAAUCUCCCGCAGAUACCAAGAGAUGACUGUGUAGAUAAUUAUACAUAUAAUUAUGAUUUUUUUAAAAAUUCUGUUUCCCGGGCUGCAGGUGUAGCUCAGUGGUAGAGUGCUUGCCUGGCUUGUGAGAAGCACUGGGUUCCAUCCUCAGCACCACAUAUAAGUAAAUAAAUAAAAUAAAGUUCCAUUGACAACUAAAAAAAAAUUUUUUUUAACUUUCUGUUUCCAUUGCCAGAAUGUGGGCAGGGAUGUGUCUGUUUGCUCACUGUGAUCAUAGCAAAAUUUGUCAUGACUCUUCAACUUCUCUGUAGCUAAGAUUCUUGCGUUGUGACUUCGCGUCUCUGCUCUUCAGCAGUGGAUUCUCUUUUAACAUUGUGCUAGAGUUUGGAUCCUGAAUAUUCCCAGUGGCACAUGUGUUGAAGGGUUAGUCCUAGUUUGGGCUACUGAGAGUCAUGGAACAGUUAGGAGGUGGGGCCUAGAGGGACAUCUUUGAGUUACUGGGGAGGGGCGUGUCCUCAAAAGGGAUGCUGGAACCCCAGCUCUUCCUCUUUCUUUCUCUUGACUUCCUGGCUGGCCUGACGUGAGCAUCGCUGCUGCACCAGGUGCUUCCCCGCCAUAGCGUGCUCCCUCACCACAGGCCCCAAGGCAACAGGGCUGACUGACCAUGGACUUAAACCUCUCAAAAUGUAAGCCAAAACAAACCCUUCUUUCUAAGAGUUGAUUCAUUUCAGGUAUUUGCACAGUGGUGGAAAGUUGGCUAACACACCCUUGUGACUUGUCCGUCCAGUAGAAUGUGAUUUGAUUUAGCCAACAGAAGUAGUUCAAAUCAUGGAUGAGUUAAGAGGCAUAUAGCACCUGUUCCUUCUUUGAAAUCCUGCCACACUUAUGUGAACACGUCCGUCGGGUGAUAACAGGCUCAUGACUCAUCGCCUUAGCCAACAACUAGCUGGCCACUCAUGUGAGCAAGUCCCACCAAGAUCAGCCAAGCCUGCCACAAAGGUGAUCUGUAGAUUUAUUGUUUUAAACCAUUGAGUUUGGGAAUGGUUUGUUACCCAGCAUCACCUGUGGUCCUAGAUAACUGAUACAAACACUUAGCCCCAUUCCUGGUAUAGAAUCAUGCUCAAUAAAAAUUUGCAACACAGAUGAAUCAAUGAAUGAGGAGAAGGAAUACAUUCACCUAAUUGGUCAUUAUUACUCCAACACCAUAUACAGUCUUUGAUAAAUAUUUGUUGAAUG